rnacentral:rRNA from 1 species
AGAGUUUGAUCAUGGCUCAGAUUGAACGCUGGCGGAAUGCUUUACACAUGCAAGUCGAACGGCAGCAUAGGUGCUUGCACCUGAUGGCGAGUGGCGAACGGGUGAGUAAUACAUCGGAACGUGCCCAGUCGUGGGGGAUAACGUAGCGAAAGUUACGCUAAUACCGCAUACGAUCUACGGAUGAAAGCGGGGGACCGUAAGGCCUCGCGCGAUUGGAGCGGCCGAUGUUAGAUUAGGUAGUUGGUGGGGUAAAGGCUCACCAAGCCGACGAUCUAUAGCUGGUCUGAGAGGAUGAUCAGCCACACUGGGACUGAGACACGGCCCAGACUCCUACGGGAGGCAGCAGUGGGGAAUUUUGGACAAUGGGCGCAAGCCUGAUCCAGCCAUUCCGCGUGCAGGACGAAGGCCUUCGGGUUGUAAACUGCUUUUGUACAGAACGAAAAGCCUUGGGUUAAUACCCUGAGGUCAUGACGGUACUGUAAGAAUAAGCACCGGCUAACUACGUGACGGCAGCCGCGGUAAU